AGAGACAGCAGCAGCCACGGUAAUACGUAGGGUGCAAGCGUUAAUCGGAAUUACUGGGCGUAAAGCGUGCGCAGGCGGUUCGCUAAGACAGAUGUGAAAUCCCCGGGCUUAACCUGGGAACUGCAUUUGUGACUGGCGGGCUAGAGUAUGGCAGAGGGGGUAGAAUUCCACGUGUAGCAGUGAAAUGCGUAGAGAUGUGGAGGAAUACCGAUGGCGAAGGCAGCCCCCUGGGCCAAUACUGACGCUCAUGCACGAAAGCGUGGGGAGCAAACAGGAUUAGAUACCCGAGUAGUCCCUGUCUCUUAUACA
rnacentral:rRNA from 1 species